rnacentral:lncRNA from 1 species
UUCUUAUAAAACCUGCGACCUUCAUUUCACCACUUCCUCCACCAUUCCCAUUUCAGUCUGUAUCCUACCCGAGGGGCAGGUGGAUCUUGUGAUGGAAGAGCUAGGUACUAACUGGGAUAAUGAAGCCAGAGAAGAAGUCAUGCACUGGGAUAACGAGGCCGAACUUACAGUGUAUGCUCCUCCCAGCCACUCACGGAGAGAGGAAAUUCAGGAAGAAGAAAAGAGGCUGCACUCAUCAUGUUCCCAGAAAGGUAAUGAGGAGGAGGAAAGGAAGACUGCAGGAUCCCUGCCUCACUCUCCUUGCAUUGCUUACGGUGGUGAGCUGGAUGAGUGCGCCUUUGCAGCCGCUGGCCCGGGUUUGGAGCAGCUAGAAGAAGACCAGGGGGCUGCUCCCAAAGACCCUUUGCUAAAGGUGAAAGAGGAGAAAGCUGGAGCUGCCCAAACUGAUGCUGAAGCGUCAGAUGCCCUGUCCUUUGCUUGAA